UUUUUCAUGUUUUGCCAAGACGAAUCAGACAAGAAGCAACCACGAUGCUUAGCCCCGCCACUCUCACCCGGAAAACACCACUCCCGUUCAACUCUCUCGGGUUUUCCGGUAAUAACACAUCGUACUUCAACCGAAGGAGGACUCUUACUGAAGCUGGUUCAAGCAGGGCUCUUUCGUUUGGGCACAAACUGAAUUGUGGUGGUCGUGUCAAUUGGUCUGGGCGUUCCGGUACCGUGUUUGGACAUCUGGGUCGAGUCUAUUCGGUCUCAGGUGGAAGUUCAGGUGACUCCGGCGGAAUUGGUGGUUCAGGUGGAGGUUGUGGUGGUGGUGGUGGAGGUGAAGGCAGUGGCGGAAACGGAAACAAGUGGUCAUUUCUGUCAUGGUACUUGGCUCUUCUAUCAAACUAUCCUGUUUUGACCAAAGCUGUGACAUCAGCAAUUUUGACACUCAUUGGUGAUUUGAUCUGUCAGCUUACAAUCAAUAGAACCUCAUCUCUGGACAAAAAGAGGACACUUACGUUUACCAUAUUGGGAUUAGGACUAGUCGGUCCAGCAUUGCAUUUCUGGUAUUUGUAUUUGAGCAAAGUGGUGACAGCUUCCGGAUUAUCAGGCGCAGUUCUGAGGCUUUUACUGGACCAGUUUGUUUUUGCUCCUGUUUUUGUUGGAGUUUUCUUAUCAGCUGUUGUGGCACUUGAAGGAAAACCAUCACAUGUCAUACCGAAGCUGAAGCAGGAGUGGACUGGUGCAGUGGUAGCAAAUUGGCAGCUAUGGAUACCAUUUCAGUUUCUUAACUUCAGAUUUGUUCCACAAAACUUUCAGGUGCUCGCUUCAAACGUAGUGGCAUUGGCUUGGAAUGUGAUUUUAUCAUUCAAAGCUCACAGAGAAGUUGUUGCAAAAUAGGCAAUGUUUCGUUCCCUACAAGCUACAUGUGUUGUAAUCGGCAGAGUUUUGGGGGCAGAGAGUGCUUUUCUGCUGAUGCAAAUGGUUUGGUGCUCCAGAACAAAUGUGUUGGACUCUUCUCUUGACAUUUUAUGAAUAUCUUAACCUUUCAUAUUUUUAUCAAUCGAGCUGAUUGGCAGUUUCAAAACAUAUCAAAAAUUCCUUUAAUGCAUUAAUAAAUUUGUAGUUAUAAACCUUUAAAAAAUCUCUGAUAAUUUAUAAGUUUACCGAACCAAACAACGACCCUUGGCAAAA